CACAGCCGAACCAGCCCACCGACGUCCUCACUCACACCCGCACAACUCCCAUAUGUCACCGCGCCACCACUGACCACCCGCUGCCGACCCGGCCGCGAAAUUAUUUUUCCCACUCCAGUUCUGGACGCAAAUGUAUUAUCAACUGGCUUGAUACGGUCAAGUAUAUACUGGACAAUUUUUCUUCAAAUGCUCUCAUAUUCCGUGAGUUUCGUACCACUUGUCGGUUUAUCGGAGACGUUGCAAGUUGCCGAAUUGUUAGAUUUCAAACAUGUCACCCAAAGUUAUUGUCUUCGUAUGUCUACUGGUAGCUCUCGUUUCGAACACGAGUGCCCGUGUUAUCGAUAUCAAUGGCGAUGAAGAGGCUAUCGAUCAAACUGCAUUGGACUUGGUAAACGAUGGUUCUACAGCUCACAUUCCAAGAGUUGUGAGACGCAGUGCUGGAGACAAGACAAAACGUGGUUGCUGUUUCGAGUGUCAUCGUUGGUGCACUUGCUGCUACGCAUGAAGAACCUCUGGCAAAUAGACAUCAUCGUAGAAUUUAAUCCCUCUUCAUUAAUAUUUUGUUUUAUCAUCUUUUCUAGUAAAAUCAUUUAAGGGUAAGGGGAGAUUCAAUAUUGUUUGGAGGAGUGAAAUGUAUGUAUAUGUGCAUAUAUAUAUAAAUAUAUAUAUAUAUAUAUAUACAUACAUACAUACAUUACCAUGAUAUCACGGAGACUCUGUUCUCCCUUGAAUAUAACGUUUCCUUGUUGUAUAUGAUCUUUUUAUAGAUUUCACAAUUACUACUACUAAUAAUAAUAAUGAUAAUAAUAAUAAUAAAAAUUAUGAAAAUAAUGAUCAUUAAGAUUGAUCAAAUGCAUAAUAGAUAAAACCUCUCUCUAUGCGCUUUACAAAAUAAAAAAUAGGUAUUAAAAUAUUAUGAAACAAAGUUAUUGUAAGAAAUGUAAACUAGCUAAUGGAUAAAAAAUUACCGAUACAACAUAAACAUAAAAAUAAGGAUAAUAACAUCAAAGUUAAGCAUAAGACAUUGGUCAAGAACCUGUAAAUAUUUAUUAAUUAUUUGAAAAAUCGCAGUCUCAAUUACAUUCAACCAAUUAUUCACUUAUUCAUGUUAUUUGUUUUAAAGGCAUUAUUGAGACAUUGAGUUAGCAUUGCAAGGCUCCACUUGUCUCCUUUGUCUGUUUUUGGUUAUAAAAAUGAAACCCAGAAAGGAAAAUAUCGACCGAAAAUCUUCAUUUGACGCUUCAAAUAAUGAAACACAGAGUGACCGAAAACACCAUCUUCAUUUCAUUAAAAACGCUAGCACGUGUUUUAAAAAUCUCCCCAUUAUAUUAAUUAAAUAACAAAGAUCCUGAA